rnacentral:lncRNA from 1 species
UCCCAGGCCUGGCCUCCGGCUCUGACUGCCACCCACUGUGUGCUGGACGGGGGAAGGGAUCCAGAACUGAGCCAUCCGGAGUCCUGAGCUGACCCCAGACUCCACCAUCUACACAACCCUUCUGCUACCACCUUCCGAAAGGGGUGGUCAGCCCCUCAGAGAGUACAGGGCCUCCCAGAAUUCUCCGCCACCCCCACCUGCCGCCUGCCUCCUCCUCCAGGAAGCUUUCCCUGACCACCCCACCCACGAGGGUCUGCUCUGUCUCCUGCCCAUCACAGCUGCGCCACAGCACCUUCCCCAGCCUCCUCGUGUGUGCUGGCUCCACAUCACCAACUAGACCGUGCAGUCGUGACUCACUGAGAAAAUCACUGACCUGGACCUGGUCCCCGGCCACCCACCCGCCUAUGUCAGCAGUGCUCUCCUCUCUGGUUGUCAACUUCCCUGGAGCCUUCGAGGCACGCAGCACACGCAGCACAGGGUGUGGUGGUCGCUUGUUCCCCUGCGGGUAGGGGUAGGGUCUGGCAGGGCCACGGGCUGGGUCUGGCCCUCUGGUUCCUCUGCAAUCCUGGUCCCUGUGCCGGUGCACGGUGAAUGUGCAUGAAUGGGGAGCAAGCUGAAAAGACGGAGUGUUUUGGGCUGGGUCCUGGGUUUCACAGAGCUGGAGUGUUGGGGCUUGAAUUCCAAC